CAGGAUUAUAACAAUACAACUUAGAUAUAUGUAGGUAGUGUUGAUGAGAUAGAUACUUCUGGAAGAACUAAAAUUGAGACCGCCACACAUUUUGUGCAAUCACUUUCAUCCCCUUUUUGGUGCCUAACUUCUUUCCGUUUAAAGGCUGUUUGGAGGCUGUCAAACACGGGGAAAAAAAACCCUGCCAUACUAUACCAAAUAUAUUUGUGAUUAGGAUUGAAAAAGAUCGUCACAUCAUAGAUUAACAGAAUUCAGUCAUGGAUCCUGCUGUAUUAGAAGAGAUAGAAAAACUAUGUGACACGGCGGAUCAGGAAUGUGACGAUUCUGCUUUUUUGGUUUUUGAUAUCGGCGAUACUGUCGAAAGGGUUAAGCAAUGGAGAUUAGCAAUGCCUCGUGUAGAUCCUUAUUAUGGUA